rnacentral:rRNA from 1 species
AUGGACAUGCCAGAGAGGAGGACAUUCUUGGAUGAUGUAGAAGCUGCGGGAGAGGAGGGCUCUGACCUUGAUGGAUGCCAUGCAAUGGUAGGUCGGCAAGGCAGCCAGUGGGACGGAGGCGAUGAACUCUGCUGCAGCCACGGCCGGCUGUGCUUCUGCCUUCGUGGUGGCCUUGGACUUGUGAUUGUGGUGUUGUGCUUUGACCAGUGGCAUGAUUUACACACUAUGCCAAUGUUAGGUUUAGGGAAAUAUGUAUUGUUGCUCCUGAUUGAACCAGUUGACCAGUACAUUGCAGCUAGAACAAGAAUAUAA